GGAGCUUGCUCCACCGGAAAAAGAAGAGUGGCGAACGGGUGAGUAACACGUGGGUAACCUGCCCAUCAGAAGGGGAUAACACUUGGAAACAGGUGCUAAUACCGUAUAACAAUCGAAACCGCAUGGUUUUGAUUUGAAAGGCGCUUUCGGGUGUCGCUGAUGGAUGGACCCGCGGUGCAUUAGCUAGUUGGUGAGGUAACGGCUCACCAAGGCCACGAUGCAUAGCCGACCUGAGAGGGUGAUCGGCCACAUUGGGACUGAGACACGGCCCAAACUCCUACGGGAGGCAGCAGUAGGGAAUCUUCGGCAAUGGACGAAAGUCUGACCGAGCAACGCCGCGUGAGUGAAGAAGGUUUUCGGAUCGUAAAACUCUGUUGUUAGAGAAGAACAAGGAUGAGAGUAACUGUUCAUCCCUUGACGGUAUCUAACCAGAAAGCCACGGCUAACUACGUGCCAGCAGCCGCGGUAAUACGUAGGUGGCAAGCGUUGUCCGGAUUUAUUGGGCGUAAAGCGAGCGCAGGCGGUUUCUUAAGUCUGAUGUGAAAGCCCCCGGCUCAACCGGGGAGGGUCAUUGGAAACUGGGAGACUUGAGUGCAGAAGAGGAGAGUGGAAUUCCAUGUGUAGCGGUGAAAUGCGUAGAUAUAUGGAGGAACACCAGUGGCGAAGGCGGCUCUCUGGUCUGUAACUGACGCUGAGGCUCGAAAGCGUGGGGAGCAAACAGGAUUAGAUACCCUGGUAGUCCACGCCGUAAACGAUGAGUGCUAAGUGUUGGAGGGUUUCCGCCCUUCAGUGCUGCAGCUAACGCAUUAAGCACUCCGCCUGGGGAGUACGACCGCAAGGUUGAAACUCAAAGGAAUUGACGGGGGCCCGCACAAGCGGUGGAGCAUGUGGUUUAAUUCGAAGCAACGCGAAGAACCUUACCAGGUCUUGACAUCCUUUGACCACUCUAGAGAUAGAGCUUCCCCUUCGGGGGCAAAGUGACAGGUGGUGCAUGGUUGUCGUCAGCUCGUGUCGUGAGAUGUUGGGUUAAGUCCCGCAACGAGCGCAACCCUUAUUGUUAGUUGCCAUCAUUCAGUUGGGCACUCUAGCAAGACUGCCGGUGACAAACCGGAGGAAGGUGGGGAUGACGUCAAAUCAUCAUGCCCCUUAUGACCUGGGCUACACACGUGCUACAAUGGGAAGUACAACGAGUCGCGAAGUCGCGAGGCUAAGCUAAUCUCUUAAAGCUUCUCUCAGUUCGGAUUGUAGGCUGCAACUCGCCUACAUGAAGCCGGAAUCGCUAGUAAUCGCGGAUCAGCACGCCGCGGUGAAUACGUUCCCGGGCCUUGUACACACCGCCCGUCACACCACGAGAGUUUGUAACACCCGAAGUCGGUGAGGUAACCUUUGAGCC
rnacentral:rRNA from 2 species